rnacentral:lncRNA from 1 species
UCAAAAAGUCGGCUAAAAUUCCCUGCGUGUGCCUAAUACUUGAACAUCGUUGAAUGGCAUUUAGAUUCGUGCUCCUGCCGUAGAGUGUAUUUUUUUCUUUUCAUUACCUAUUUUUCUAGAACCGUGAUUUCUUUUAAGUUUGGGAGAGAGAAAUUUAAAAACAACUCAAUUUUAUCUUUGUUUUUGCAAAUAUCCACUAGGAGCCUUAUGAAAAAUAUCAAAUCUGUAAUGUAAAUCUCCCACCUACGCCCAAAGUGAUUCCUUUCACCGUCGCUUCGCCAGCUAAAGCGCCUGCAAGUAUGAUGCAGGCAAAAUGCGUGUCCCAUCGGCACAGAUUCAUUAUAACUCUACGGCGGGAUGAGCUCUGCUAAGAACAGAAUUUUAUUUAAAGAUUUAAACCUUGCACACCAUCAUUAUACCCCCUUAAAAUAUCUAUCAAAAGAUCUAUCCAAAAUCAAACUUUCGAUCUUAAAGAAGAAGAAGAAAAAAGAAAAAAGAAAAAAAAAGCCCUUCAAUGGAAAAUUACGAAAAUGAAGUCAUCCUUCGUCGGUGUUAGUGCAUAAUAUACUUUUUUCUCAACCUAGAUUCAUCAAUUUGUGAUAUUCACUUACAUUUAAAGUUGGAGGGGUGCAACGUAAUAACUUACUAUGGAAAGGAAGAAGACAAAUUCUUGUUACACACAAGAAUGGAGAGAACGUCAUAAGUCUUGUUAAAUAAAAAUAAGAACAAUAUCUUCGCCAUUAUUUGAUGUAAUAACUCAACGUUUCAAUCUUUUCAUGUUUUCUUUUUCGGUUAUUACAGAGAUAAGAAUGUGAAAUCUAGUACGUUUGCAUCUAACUCAAUGGCUGAAAUAGCAUUUGGGCUCAGUCCAAAACAGGGUCACAUCAUGAACUGCAAGCCACGUUCCAUGUUCCAUCCGCAUCCCUCCUCUUUCAUGGAAGACUCCACGGACAGCUACACCGAAAUGGCAUCCGAGUGUCACAGGCAUCGCCAUAGACAGCAUCAUCGGCACGAGCCGACCUGCGCGCGGCACCAAUCGCGACGCCGCAAGAGCUCGCUCACCCGCUCGCCAAGCACGGCCAUGCUCGAAGCCUCCUUGGCCUCCCUCCACUCCAGCGGAAGGGAUUCUGGCCUCGGCAAAAACAUGGGCCGCUGUCCUUGCGGCCACUCUGCCACCCACUCCUCGGCCAACAGCAGCAACGGGAGUUAUGAAGACUCGCUGAAGUCCUUGAAUCGGCAGCACAGUCACAGCAGUGGAAGCGGAGGGGGUUGUUCCCAUGAUCGAUCCCACGAUCGAUCCUUGAUGAGGAGACAACAUCAGUACAACACACCCUCCCUCACCCGGAGACCCAGCGAGAGAAUCUUAGUCUGCCCAAUUAACAAUAGUCUUCUUAAUUUCCAGGACAGUUCGUCGUCUCCUCCACUAGGGGACGUAACUUAAUUCCAAGGUUGCCAAAUUGACUCAAGCAAUUGAUUUAUUUUACAAAGUUGUACCUGAGCAAUUUUUAUCAAAAAGUUUUCUGAUUUUUGUAUAAAAUAUGAGGAAAAUCAGUGGAAUUCUCGGUUAGGAAUGCCCGAGAUUCCUCUAGCGAUUGUGCGAUUUGUGAGGGAAAAUUGAGCAACAUUGAAAUGGAGUUAUGGUCUUUUUUGUGGGAAAUGACGAAUUAUCUCAUGCUCUAGGCUCAGAUUGGUAUGUCAUAAAAUUUUACGCUUUUUUGAAAUAUCACAAGUAACACGGCAGUCACGUCGAUCAAACUCAACAUUUGCCGCUGAGCCCGGAAAAUUUUGAGAUUUGAGAACUGAAAAGAACCUGAUCCAGCCCGAAUGAUUGAUUUUCGAUAUUUUCCCACUUAAAGCUAUGGUAAAGAAUCAAUUAUCAAGGUGUUCGUUGCAAACUCCCUAUUUAUCGAUCCUUUUCCAUAGGUUUAAAAUCGCAGAUCAAUCGAUAGGUCGCAAAGCACGCCACACCGCUGAUCUGAUUGUCACCAAUGUUCAUAGUCUGGUAAAAUUCAUCCAUUUUACAUGGGAUAAAACUAUCGGGAGUUUAAAGGCACUUUUUCUUGACACACAUCAGAACAUGUUAUUGGGACUUUGAGAGAGUAUUUACGAGUUGGUGCGAUAUUCUCGCAAAGUCCCAUGUAAAUGUAACAAGUUACGUUAAAAUCCUGUAACAACAUUUUUAGGGAUCAAAAGUUUCAGAGUAAGUUUACGUACUUUUUUCAGAAAAUACGUGCUACAAAUCAUAUUCAGUAAUUAGUUCCCGUGAAGAGUGGAAAAAAAUGUCAAAAAUAUACCAGUUGAUCGUAACUGCAGUUGAGUUUUGGAUCAAAUGCUCAAGUUUUUUUGGAUGUGACUGCCGUUUUUUUUUUAAAUAUUUAAUAUGAGUUGAAUGUGUAAAUUCCUCAUUGAAGCCAAAUCAAAGAGCUAUGAACGUUGAGCAUAAUGUCCCAGACAAGUAUGAUUAAGUUGGUGCAAAAUAGUAAAUCGUGAUAGCCGGUGGAUAUCAAAGUGUGCAGCUUGCAGGUAAUUAAAUCUUAUCAGAAAAGUGUUUGUUAUGUGCCAACAAGUUUCAUACAAAGUUGAUAAAAUAAUUAGCUUAACAAUUUCUGUCUGAGACGUCUAAUGAAAGUACCCUCGCAUUUGGUCAUUGAGAGGUCAUGGUUCAUACUUUUAUUGUACUCAUUCAUGAAUUAGGAUAAGUAUUCCCCAAUAGCUUGUGAUAUUCUACUCACAGCUAUAGGAGUCUCGUUUAUAAGCCUAUCCUGAACGUAUGUUCUAUCCAUUCGUAAAAGCAUAUCAAUUCCUAUUUUUUCACUCAUGAUUUCAGGUCAUUAUGAGUUGAAGCUUUCCAGAGUAUUAUUUCAGAUGCAAGAGAUCCCAGUUUUCAAUUAAAUAUAAUUAAUAAUAUUAAUAAUAAUAUAAUAUAUUUUAUAUCAAUAAAAUUUAUAUAUUAAUAUUGUUCAUCCAAAGGAAAAGGGAUACCUUAACCAUGGGAGUGGGAUAACUGAUAAUCCCGAUUAAACAUUUUGGACAACUGACGACCCUAAAACUGAAAUGCAAACUGCAUGUAAACCCACGCCAAAGUCUUUUACUCUUGUAUCUCUUGUAACUUUAUGAUAAAUUUUGUGCCGGAAGAGACUGUUAAUUUGUUAUAUUCAAGUAGUCCUAUUUCUUGAAUACAGCGAAUUGCAAUCUCUAUUUUUUUUUUCUAGAAACCACAUUUUUUGAACCGCUGACUAGAAGUUGCCAUAACUCCCGUUUGGUUUUAGGAGUUUUGUUUUGUAGUAGAAUGUUUGUGAAGUACUCCUUCGCACUUUUAUGUGCAUUCGUUUGAGUUUCGAUGACUAUGGACCCUUUUCCUACGGACACAUACUAAUACACAUACUGAAGAGCCUUCAAACACUAUCGUUUGCGUGAUGCGAAGUCGUGAGGUAGAAAGUUAGGUUGAUGUUUUCUUUUACUUUUAACGUUCAGUUAGGCUUAUUGACCAGUUAGGAUAGAUAAUACAUAUAUGUUUAAGUCUAAAUGAAAAUACCCAUCGAGAAGACUGUUACAGUAGGGAACUCGUUUGAGUUUUUAUAGUAAUACCUGUUUCACAUUGCUUUUCAGUUUGUCAUACUAAUGGAAAAGUAAAGUUAUUUCACUCUUAGAAUAUAUGCAUUAGUGUAGGCGAAUCUAACGUCAGAGUCAAUUAAAAAAAAGAAAACGUGAAAACGGAAAAAAAAAAAAUCCGUCGCUAUCGGGUUCUUUGUUUAAUUAAGAAGGUUUACAUAUUUUAAACUCUUCUCCUCUCCCUUCGUCUUAUUUUUGUUUGCCUUCUCCUUUUUCAAGUCUCAGUUUUCCGAACUGGAGCUUUCAAUACGUUCCAUGACUACAGGAAGACUUGCUCCAUUCAUUCGACCGUGAGUGGUAAUGAGAAACGUUUUUAAAUAAUUGAGAGAAAUGGGAGACGAAUAGAGCAAUGAAAUCGUGGUUGGUUAUGUUACUACCCAAUUUUUUACUUUAAAGAGGUGCUCAUUAUUCUAUAAACGUAUGAUUCGUUUAAUUUAACCUAGCAAAAUAAUCAAAUCGGUUUAACUUGAAAGCCAAAGAAAUUCAGAUUGAUGAAUCCCGACGCUUUGUGUUUCAUCAUCAGUUGGUGGAAUCAUCAAUCUGUUUUGAAUCCGUCAUGACGGUGAAUUAUGUCAGAUUUGAGGUUGUAAAUAUAUGAUAAGUAUGUAUUUUUGAAUGCCUUAUGUAAAGAUUUGUAUAGCUCAUGUUAUCACUAACAAACUGAAUAGGGAACUACAUUUUAAAGAGUGUUAAACGAUGUAUUCAUGUGUUUAAAUACUCGUUUUUCAUUAAUAUAAUUUUUUUAACUACUUUCCUUUAAUUUAUUGACUCUCUUGUCAGUAGACACACAUGAAGGAGUGCACGUGGAUUGUAAGAGUUUUGUUUGAAUGCGAUGCAUGAAUGUGUAAUAGGAAUUAGUUAAUUUGUCCCUCUCUUAGAAUGACGUCAUAUCAUUAAUUAUGUAAGCGAUGCUCCAUUAACACGUUAAUAAUUAUCAUCGUUGAGCCAAAAAUAUAUACAUAUAAUGUGUGCUAAAUAGAGGCAAUAGUGAGAAAUUGCAUCUGCCUUGUUGGGUUGCCUCAUCAUUCAAACAUGCAACAAUUUUACAUGAGGUUAACGAUGCGCUAUCCUCAUAAAUGUAAUAAUUUGAAGUUAUUUCAGCAGUGUCAUACGUAGGUACUUUUUAAGUGUUUGUAAAAGUGUAGGCAAUAAUUUAUUGUUAUUUGUUGUGCCACUCUCUUAUGAAAGUUUUAUUUUAUUUAUUCAUUUUUUAAACAAAAUUUUCAACUAAAAAUUAUUUAUUUCUGUUUAUUUUUAGUCGUAAUGCUAGUACCUAAUUGUGAAAGACGCAUAGUUACUCAUGUAUAAUUUAAUUUGCUCAGUUCAAGAAUUACGUUAGAAUACUACACUACUCCUGAAAACAUUUGAUUAAGCGUCUAUUUGAAACGUAAGUGUAAAUAUAAAAUUUCAAUAUUUUUAUCUGAGUAUUUUUCACUGCUUUCUCCUCUCUCUGUCUUCGUCACUUAUACCUAACUGUUACAAAAAAUAUGAUAACCAAUAUUGGCUUCCUUCUGAUUUCAAGCGAUGGAAGUGAAAUAAGAGUUCCUAGAGAAGUAUGGUCAGGAAAAUUUAUGAAGAAAGGCGAAAAAACUGCGUACAAAAAUUAAUAUAAUAAAUGAGCUCACUCAACUAUUUCAAUGAUUUGAUGCCAUCAAAAGGCGACUUUCUGUUAGUGGAUUUGAGUAAGUUUUGGAAUUACUUCCCGCCUCAGUUAUAACACAACGAAAAUCCCUUCGGGCGACGGUGCGCCUAUAAAAUUUGGUUUUCAUGUUGGCAGCAAUGAGGACCACAUCCAAAAUUCUUGAUCCACCUCAGGAGGUGGGUCGAAAAGGGAAUGGACGCAAAAGUUAUCCAAAAUUCAUCGAGCAGCUGAAUUUUAUUCUUGACUUCAACAGAGCAUUUUUCUCCUG